rnacentral:rRNA from 1 species
UACGGGGGGGGCAAGCGUUGUUCGGAAUCACUGGGCGUAAAGGGCGCGUAGGCGGCCCUCUUAGUCGCGUGUGAAAGCCCCGGGCUCAACCUGGGAACGGCGCGCGAAACGGGAGGGCUGGAGUUCGGGAGAGGAGAGUGGAAUUCCCAGUGUAGAGGUGAAAUUCGUAGAUAUUCGGAAGAACACCAGUGGCGAAGGCGACACACUGGCCCGUUACUGACGCUGAGGCGCGAAAGCGUGGGGAGCAAACAGG